UAGGGAAUCUUCGGCAAUGGGGGCAACCCUGACCGAGCAACGCCGCGUGAGUGAAGAAGGUUUUCGGAUCGUAAAGCUCUGUUGUAAGAGAAGAACGUGUGUGAGAGUGGAAGUUCACACAGUGACGGUAACUUACCAGAAAGGGACGGCUAACUACGUGCCAGCAGCCGCGGUAAUACGUAGGUCCCGAGCGUUGUCCGGAUUUAUUGGGCGUAAAGCGAGCGCAGGCGGUUCAAUAAGUCUGAAGUUAAAGGCAGUGGCUUAACCAUUGUUCGCUUUGGAAACUGUUAAACUUGAGUGCAGAAGGGGAGAGUGGAAUUCCAUGUGUAGCGGUGAAAUGCGUAGAUAUAUGGAGGAACACCGGUGGCGAAAGCGGCUCUCUGGUCUGUAACUGACGCUGAGGCUCGAAAGCGUGGGGAGCAAACAGG
rnacentral:rRNA from 1 species